rnacentral:rRNA from 1 species
AGCGAACGCUGGCGGCAGGCUUAACACAUGCAAGUCGAGCGGGCAUCUUCGGAUGUCAGCGGCAGACGGGUGAGUAACACGGGGGAACGUACCCUUCGGUUCGGAACAACUCUGGGAAACUGGAGCUAAUACCGGAUACGCCCUUAUGGGGAAAGGUUUACUGCCGAAGGAUCGGGCCGCGUCUGAUUUGCUAGGUGGUGGGGUAACGGCCUACCAAGGCGACGAUCAGUAGCUGGUCUGAGAGGAUGAUCAGCGACACUGGGACUGAGACACGGCCCAGACGCGUACGGGAGGCAGCAGUGGGGAAUAUAGGACAAUGGGCGCAAGCCUGAACCACCCAUGCCGGGAGAGUGAAGAAGGCCUUAGGGUCGGAAAGCGCUUUUGUCCGGGACGAUAAUGACGGUACCGGAAGAAUAAGCCCCGGCUAACUUCGUG